CAGUCGCCGCGGUAAUACGUAGGGAGCUAGCGUUGUUCGGAAUUACUGGGCGUAAAGCGCACGUAGGCGGUUAUUCAAGUCAGAGGUGAAAGCCCGGGGCUCAACCCCGGAACUGCCUUUGAAACUAGAUGACUGGAAUCUUGGAGAGGUCAGUGGAAUUCCGAGUGUAGAGGUGAGAUUCGUAGAUAUUCGGAAGAACACCAGUGGCGAAGGCGACUAACUGGACAAGUAUUGACGCUGAGGUGCGAAAGCGUGGGGAGCAAACGGGAUUAGAUACCCCAGUAGUCCCUGUCUCUUAUAC
rnacentral:rRNA from 1 species